rnacentral:tRNA from 1 species
GCCUCUGUAGCUCAACGGAUAGAGCACUGCUGUGACGCCAGAGGUUGCGGGUUCGAAUCCCGUCAGGGGUA